rnacentral:rRNA from 1 species
UGAGUAACGCGUGGGUAACCUACCCCAAAGUCCGGGAUAACAGCGGGAAACCGCUGCUAAUACCGGAUGCCUUUACCUUGGGGCAUCUUGAGGUAAAGAAAGGUAACGCUUUGGGAUGGGCCCGCGUCCCAUUAGCUAGUUGGUGAGGUAACGGCUCACCAAGGCGACGAUGGGUAGCCGGCCUGAGAGGGUGGACGGCCACACUGGGACUGAGACACGGCCCAGACUCCUACGGGAGGCAGCAGUAGGGAAUAUUGCGCAAUGGACGGAAGUCUGACGCAGCGACGCCGCGUGAGCGAUGAAGGUCUUCGGAUCGUAAAGCUCUGUCCUUGGGGAAGAAGGCGAAAGCUUGACGGUACCCAAGAAGAAAGCCCCGGCUAACUACGUGCCAGCAGCCGCGGUAAUACGUAGGGGGCGAGCGUUGUCCGGAAUUACUGGGCGUAAAGGGUGCGUAGGCGGCCCUUUAAGUCGGAUGUGAA